UACGGGGGGGGCAAGCGUUGUUCGGAAUUACUGGGCGUAAAGGGCUCGUAGGCGGCCAACUAAGUCAGACGUGAAAUCCCUCGGCUUAACCGGGGAACUGCGUCUGAUACUGGAUGGCUUGAGUUUGGGAGAGGGAUGCGGAAUUCCAGGUGUAGCAGUGAAAUGCGUAGAUAUCGUGAGGAACACCAGAGGCGAAGGCGGCUACCUGGACAAUUGCUGACGCUCAGGCACGAAAGCGUGGGGAGCAAAAGGG
rnacentral:rRNA from 1 species